rnacentral:rRNA from 1 species
UACGGUGAAUACGUUCCCGGACCUUGCACACACCGCCCGUUCAAGCCUAUGGAAGCCCGGGUGUACCUAAAGUCGGGUAACCGUAAGGAGCCGCCUAAGGGUAAAACUGGUGACUGGGGCU